rfam:Vibrio anguillarum 775 chromosome I, complete sequence.
GGGGCUGAUUCUGGAUUCGACGGGAAUUUUGCAGUCUGAGGUGCAUGCCGUGGGGCGGUUUGCCACGUUAAAAGCCGCAAAAAAAUAGUCGCAAACGACGAAAACUACGCACUAGCAGCUUAAUAACCUGCCAAGAGCCUUUCUGCCCUAGCUUCCGCUCGUAAGACGGGGAACAACAGAGAGUCAAAACCAAACAAGCUCGUGCCGCGUCUCCCGCCUGAGAGACAAAGCAUUAAAACUAAUUCAGGAUAGCCAUUAGAUAGCGUGUCGGUUCGCAGUUUGAUGGUGAAAUUAAAGAUCGAAUAAGCAUGUAGUACCAAUGAUGAAUGAUUUUCGGACGCGGGUUCAAAUCCCGCCAGCUCCACCA